rnacentral:tRNA from 1 species
GGGCGCAUAGCUCAGGGGAAGAGCGUCUGCUUCACACGCAGAAGGUCCGAGGUUCAAAUCCUCGUGCGCCCACCA